AAAUGAUUCAUCGGCGAGCGGUCUGAGUAACGGGGAUGUCUCGUCGCCAUGGUCAGGUAAUCACCACUGCGACCCGCUGCGAAAGCAGCAUAUGCGACACACGUUCCGCAUGCUGUGGUGUGAAAAACUCCAGUGGUAAAGUAUGGACCUAAGUGUGCUUAACGAGUACGAUCAGUAGCGGGUCUCAGAAGACAACCACAGUCAUCGGCAUGAGAGCGUGACCGAGCAUAUUGCGAGUGAGACCCGUGGCAAAUUCUUACAGAGGCAGCAGUGGGGAUCCAUGCACAAUGCGUGAAAGCAGAAGGCAUUGACGUUGUAAGAGUGAAGAAGUAUUUCGAUAUGUAGAUGUCUAUCAGCAGGGAAGAAAAUGACGGUACCUGAGUAUGAACACCGGCUAAAUUAGUUGCCACCAGCCGGGUUAUUAGUUAGGGGGCAAGCUUUAUCGGAAUUUAUGGGGUGUAAAGGGAGCCUAGAGGGCGAGCCAAGUAGAAAUUGAAUCCCCGGGGCCUACCCGGGGGAUGCAUUUGGAAAUGCCCGGCUUGGAGGGCUGGAGGGAGGAGGGAAUUUCGUAGGGUACAGGUAAAAUGGGUAAUUUUUGGGAGGACCCCCGGUGGGGAGGCAGCCCUGUUGGACACUAACUGACGUCGAGCCUGGAAACACGGGGGAGCAACCGGGUUUGAAUCCCUUGUUGGUCCUGCCCUUAAAGAAGUAAUAUUAGGUUUUGGGGAUUAAGGCUUUUGGGUGCAGCACAUAGCGCAAUAAGUAUUCCACGGGAAGAGUGGUUUCACAAGAAUGAAUCUCAAAAAAAUUGGCGGGGCCCCGCACAAGCGGUGGAACAGUGGUUUAAUUAGAAGCAACGAGAAGCCCCUUAUCACAGUCUCACGUCCCUAU
rnacentral:rRNA from 1 species